rnacentral:rRNA from 1 species
GAUGAACGCUGACGGCGUGCCUAAUACAUGCAAGUCGAGCGAAUGGAUUAAGAGCUUGCUCUUAUGAAGUUAGCGGCGGACGGGUGAGUAACACGUGGGUAACCUGCCCAUAAGACUGGGAUAACUCCGGGAAACCGGGGCUAAUACCGGAUAACAUUUUGAACCGCAUGGUUCGAAAUUGAAAGGCGGCUUCGGCUGUCACUUAUGGAUGGACCCGCGUCGCAUUAGCUAGUUGGUGAGGUAACGGCUCACCAAGGCAACGAUGCGUAGCCGACCUGAGAGGGUGAUCGGCCACACUGGGACUGAGACACGGCCCAGACUCCUACGGGAGGCAGCAGUAGGGAAUCUUCCGCAAUGGACGAAAGUCUUACGGAGCAACGCCGCGUGAGUGAUGAAGGCUUUCGGGUCGUAAGACUCUGUUGUUAGGGAAGAACAAGUGCUAGUUGAAUAAGCUGACACCUUGACGGUACCUAACCAGAAAGCCACGGCUAACUACGUGCCAGCCGCCGCAGUAA